AAACCGUGUCGUUAUCUGCAGUUGACAUCAUUCUGCAAGAGCGUGGAAAGGCAACAUUGAAGAAUGACGAACCUGAAGGCGGUACUCCUGUUGGGAAUUGUUUUGUUCGCGUUUUCAGCGACUGCUUCCCCGCAGUUCCCUGGACGUGGAGGGCAGUUUUGUGGUCGCCGAUUCUGUCCUCCUGGUUCUUAUUGCAAGGUGGAGCAUGUGCAGUGCUUUGUCCCUCCUUGUCCUCCCAUCAGAAAUUGUGUGCCCUACUAUGGGUGAAAGAAUCGCAAGUUCGCGUUCGAAAUAGUCUCGAGUAGUUUCCAGCCACAAAUGGCUUUAUUCAUCAUGUAACGUGACAAACAAGUUUAUAAGGCAAUGAGACGAUAUGAUGAUAUGUUGUCUUGCGCAUUAAAAUGCAAUUAAAUAGAUGAUUUGAAGGCA